rnacentral:rRNA from 1 species
CACGCUGUAAACGAUGUCGACUUGGAGGUUGUGCCCUUGAGGCGUGGCUUCCGGAGCUAACGCGUUAAGUCGACCGCCUGGGGAGUACGGCCGCAAGGUUAAAACUCAAAUGAAUUGACGGGGGCCCGCACAAGCGGUGGAGCAUGUGGUUUAAUUCGAUGCAACGCGAAGAACCUUACCUACUCUUGACAUCCACAGAACUUAGCAGAGAUGCUUCGGUGCCUUCGGGAACUGUGAGACAGGUGC